rnacentral:lncRNA from 1 species
GAUCAAACUGCCAACAUUCCUAAAGGUCAGUAAGGACAAGAAUAGCCUGUUUGUAAGGACUGAUGAAACUGGAAUUUGCUGAUGACCAGAUCGCUAACCAAUCAAUGAAGUAUAUGUCCAAGUCUAGCCUUUUGCCUGAUGACCGAAUCUCAAGCCAAUCUGGGAAGUACAAACCCAGCGUUACUUCAUCUAGCACCAGUGAACUCUUCUUUAACACAAUUUACUUCAUCCUCCUCCCUUUUCCCCAUAAAAGCUUUGAGCCCCUCUCCUGUAAUCAGGACACUAUUUGGGUUUCUACCUGAAUCUGCGCUUCCCAAAUUGUAAUUCUUUGAUCCCAAAUAAAUGCUUUGCCUCUUAAACUGGUUUCUGUUCUUGUAGGUUGACACCAGAGAGUAGCAGGCUGUUUUCUGCUAUUGCUGUCCUCCCCUGAGACAAUCAACUUAAACUGGCCCAACUUCCUGGAUGAAGGUCUUUUUCAGAGGAAAUUCUUCCAUAUGUAGCUGUGGACUUGGUGUGUCCGUGGGAGGAAGUGAAUUCAGGACCUUCCUACGUCACCAUCUUGAACAGGAACCAUCAAAAGGAAAGAGAAAAAAAUCAUCCCUGACAAGUAGCAGCUGCCGAAAAUGAAGCUUUGGUGCUCAGAGGAAAGUGAAGUCUCCAGCCAUGCAAACCAGUGCCCCACAGCUUCAAGGACACUUCUUUUCUGCAGGGAAAUUAGAAAGACUGAAAUGGGCUCAUCCAUCAGUGUUACCCCUGCCCUUCACUGUCUUUGCACUAUUUUACAACUCUGUAUGGACAAGUGAUAGUAAUACAAGUAAUUCCUAUCCAUAGAAAAAAAUAGGGCUCAUUAG